rnacentral:rRNA from 1 species
AAGGUUAUUAGAUCAGACUUGGAUUUUUUAUUAUAUUUGUCUCCUUGUGGGGCAUUCACUAAUUUUUAAUCCAGGCCAGCAUCGAUUGGGAUGGCGGGAAAAAGAGGGAGGAACGUGGCUGUGCAUUUAUGUGCAGUGUUUAUAGCCUUUCUUAAUACCGCCUGUCUCGAUCGAGGACUGCGGCAAAUUUAUUUUUGCCUAGGAUGCUGGCGUAAUGAUCUAAUAUCG